rnacentral:rRNA from 1 species
GCAUAUCUAUAAGCGGAGGAAAAGAAACCAACAGGGAUUACCUCAGUAACGGCGAAGUGAAGCGGUAACAGCUCAAAUUUGAAAUCUGGGUCUUUCAGGCUCCGAGUUGUAAUUUGUAGAAGAUGCUUCGGGUGCGGCUCCGGUCUAAGUUCCUUGGAACAGGACGUCAUAGAGGGUGAGAAUCCCGUAUGUGAUCGGUUGCUUGCGCCCAUGUGAAGCUCUUUCGACGAGUCGAGUUGUUUGGGAAUGCAGCUCAAAAUGGGUGGUAAAUUUCAUCUAAAGCUAAAUAUUGGCCAGAGACCGAUAGCGCACAAGUAGAGUGAUCGAAAGAUGAAAAGCACUUUGGAAAGAGAGUUAAACAGUACGUGAAAUUGUUGAAAGGGAAGCGCUUGCAACCAGACUUGCGCGUUGCCGAUCAUCUGGGGUUCUCCCCAGUGCACUCGGCCUCGCUCAGGCCAGCAUCGGUUUCGGUGGUGGGAUAAAGGCCUUGGGAAUGUAGCUUCUUUCGGGGAGUGUUAUAGCCCUCGGUGCAAUGCCGCCUACCGGGACCGAGGACCGCGCUUCGGCUAGGAUGCUGGCGUAAUGGUUGUAAGCGACCCGUCUUGAAACACGGACCAAGGAGUCUAACAUCUAUGCGAGUGUUUGGGUGUCAAACCCAUACGCGUAAUGAAAGUGAACGGAGGUGAGAACCCUUAAGGGUGCAUCAUCGACCGAUCCUGAUGUCUUCGGAUGGAUUUGAGUAAGAGCAUAGCUGUUGGGACCCGAAAGAUGGUGAACUAUGCCUGAAUAGGGUGAAGCCAGAGGAAACUCUGGUGGAGGCUCGCAGCGGUUCUGACGUGCAAAUCGAUCGUCAAAUUUGGGUAUAGGGGCGAAAGACUAAUCGAACCAUCUAGUAGCUGGUUCCUGCCGAAG